rnacentral:rRNA from 1 species
UGGGGAAGUCUUCCACAAUGGGCGCAAGCCUGAUGGAGCAACACCGCGUGAGUGAAGAAGGGUUUCGGCUCGUAAAGCUCUGUUGUUGGAGAAGAACGUGCGUGAGAGUAACUGUUCACGCAGUGACGGUAUCCAACCAGAAAGUCACGGCUAACUACGUGCC